GGCUGAUCCCAAACCCAAACCAGAAAGCGACCGCAGUAAUGGAGCCGCAAGAGAUGAAAACAAAUGAAUACUUCUACUCGGAUGUAGAUCCGUACCUCGAUAUGGAGUAUGCAUCAGCAAUGGACGCCCGAUUCGGCGGGCACACCGACCGCGCGGUGCCGGUGCAGGCCGAUGUGGCGGCGGCGGCUCCGCCGCCGCCGCAUCAUGUUCUGGCGCCGGAGGGCGUUGUGGAGCUCGACUUCACCAAGCCGAGCUACAGCUCCUACUCUGGACAUUCAUUCAGUCACAGUUUGUCUUCGUCCGAGGUGGGGGUGGUGCCGGACGGUGGCGGCGGCGGGGUGAUGGGGGACGUCACGAAUCCGUAUGGGGUUGGCGGCCCGGUGGAGAGGCCGACGGUGGCGGUGGCGAUGGAUAGGGAGGCGAGGGUGAUGAGGUACAGGGAGAAGAGGAAGAACCGACGGUUUGAGAAGACUAUCAGGUAUGCGUCGAGGAAGGCGUAUGCGGAGACAAGGCCGAGGAUCAAGGGGAGGUUUGCGAAGAGGACGGAGAUUGAGGCGGAGGUGGACCGGUAUUAUACUACUGCUGUUGCGGUGGCGGCGACGUCGUUCAUGGUGGACAAUGGGUAUGGUGUUGUGCCGACGUUCUGACGGGCUUGGUUGGGUCUCUGGCGAGCCGGAGCUCGUUGUAAGAUGUAUGAUUUUCUUUGCUUCUACCUCCUCUUUUGACCUUGCUACCGUGUAUAUUGUUUACUGCUUUUUAAAUGACUGUUUUUCA
rnacentral:misc_RNA from 1 species